rnacentral:rRNA from 1 species
GGCUUAGAGUUUGAUCAUGGCUCAGGAUGAACGCUAGCGACAGGCUUAACACAUGCAAGUCGAGGGGCAGCACAGGUAGCAAUACCGGGUGGCGACCGGCGCACGGGUGAGUAACGCGUAUGCAACUUACCUAUCAGAGGGGGAUAACCCGGCGAAAGUCGGACUAAUACCGCAUGAAGCAGGGGCCCCGCAUGGGGAUAUUUGCUAAAGAUUCAUCGCUGAUAGAUAGGCAUGCGUUCCAUUAGGCAGUUGGCGGGGUAACGGCCCACCAAACCGACGAUGGAUAGGAGUUCUGAGAGGAAGGUCCCCCACAUUGGUACUGAGACACGGACCAAACUCCUACGGGAGGCAGCAGUGAGGAAUAUUGGUCAAUGGGCGUAAGCCUGAACCAGCCAAGUCGCGUGAGGGAUGAAGGUUCUAUGGAUCGUAAACCUCUUUUAUAAGGGAAUAAAGUGUGGGACGUGUCCUAUUUUGUAUGUACCUUAUGAAUAAGGAUCGGCUAACUCCGUGCCAGCAGCCGCGGUAAUACGGAGGAUCCGAGCGUUAUCCGGAUUUAUUGGGUUUAAAGGGUGCGUAGGCGGCCUUUUAAGUCAGCGGUGAAAGUCUGUGGCUCAACCAUAGAAUUGCCGUUGAAACUGGGGGGCUUGAGUAUGUUUGAGGCAGGCGGAAUGCGUGGUGUAGCGGUGAAAUGCUUAGAUANCACGCAGAACCCCGAUUGCGAAGGCA